GCGCAGCAGGCGAGAAUAGCCUACAAUGGACGAAGGUCUGAUAGUGCGACGCCGUGUGUGCGAUUAAUUCCUUCGGGAUGUAAAGCACUUUUCUAUGAGAUAAAAGCUCUUUAGGUUAAUAGCUUAUUGAGACGGAUAUUAUUAUAGGAAUAAGCUCCGGCUAACUCCGUGCCAGCAGCCGCGGUAAUACGGAAGGAGCGAGCGUUGUCCGGAUUUACUAGGCGUAAAGGGCUAGUAGGCGACUAAUUAAGUUAUAUGUUAAAUCCCACGGCUCAACUGUGGUCCUGCAUGUAAUACUGGUUAGAUAGAGUACUGUAGAGGAAGGCAGAAUUCCUGGAGUAGCGGUGAAUGCGCAGAUAUCAGGAAGAAUACAAAAGCGAAGGCAGCUUCUGGGCAGUUACUGAC
rnacentral:rRNA from 1 species